UCUAAUUUGCCUGGCACAAAUGUCAGUUCCUAGAUUUCACUCGCUUCCCAAUCCCCAUCCUUUUAACAUGUGAUUACGAUCACAUUUACCUCCCUCCAGUUUUCAGAUGCCAGUCAGACUGAAAAGGUGCUGAAUUUUGUAAAGGACUCAGUUUUACCCAGGAGCAUGAAUUAAUUACAGAUUCACAAGGUUUGGAACUGCUACACUGAUG